ensembl:lncRNA
AUCUUGUUGGAGAUGCCUGUGUAUCUGAGGUCUUCUGAAGCCCUACAGAGAAAAAGAGGAAUGAAGCGUCAUCACCUAUUUUCUUCCUCCUGCCACCCUGCAAAAUGAGAAGUUGCACACUUCUGAAGGAUUACUGCCAGAGGCUACUGCCUCCUCUGGUCUCCCAGUUCAGGUGCCUCCCAGGUUAUCUUUGAUCUUGCUGAUAAAACUGUCCUAACAUUAGAGCUGAAAUCUCACCUUGCACGUAAAGGACCUCGUGCACACGCAGUGUCUUUUCUGGCUUAUCAAAGACAGUUUUAAAAAGAGAAAUGUUAAGGAAACUUUACUGAAUGAGAUCUCCAGUGUCAGAACCCCCAGAUACUAUGUGAGAUGACAGGCAAAAAGGUGGAGACAGGGCAGACGCCUGUAUUCUCCUGUGCUGCCUGACAGGUGUCUGUCUGUCCCAGAUUCGUGCUCCAGAGCUGGCCUAACUAUUCUGCUCUGUGUUCUCAGUAUCCUGUCAGUGUGGGGGCCUCAGUGCUCUGACUCCAGUGCUACUAAAAUCAGAUGACAUCUUCCUGAGCCACAGUAAUAUGGUGAAGCCAGGGGAUAAAUGGAGUCAGUUCAUGGGUGGUGAACCAUCUGGCAAGCAGUGAACCUGGGAAAGGCAGAGCAUAUGCUCUAGGCAAAAUCAAAUGUCUUUUCAGAUAUAAUAGCUUCUCUGUAGAUAUCUUGUCUGAAAAAGAACAACUUUGUUUUUUGGUUUUGUUCAUGAUUUAGGAAAUUCUCCUUAUUUUUUCACUGGUGUAUGUACCUUUGUAAAGUUCUGUACAUGUAUGAAGAUAGAAAAGUAGUUAUGACUUCAUUUUUUGUGGCAACUCUAUGAUAUACCAUCAGUAAUGAUGAAUUAUGUUUCAGAUAUCAACAACGUUCAAACCAAUUUAGGACUUUGUAUCUCUUUUCAUUAAUACAGUGGGUGUUUCAGAUGCCAUAACCAAAAUAUCUAAAAUAUUUCUGAGAGCUUUUUUAUGAAGUUCACGGCACAUAACUUUGCUCCUUAGGUAUAAUUGUACAAUAUAAUAUGGUAUAAUGCAGCCACUAUAAAGAUAAUAAUUGGACAGGUGGAAUUUUCCUAAUAACGUGAUCUGAGUCUGUGAAAUCGGGUCAAGUAAAUCAUAGGUAUUUCCAACAUCAAUUAAAAAUGUGUUUAAUCUUGAUUUUUCUGUAAUAUAAGCCAGUCAAAUGUGCUCUUACAGACCUAUUUCUUUAACAUAAUUGUCCUUGACAAACAGUCAACCAGGGAUGAUAAGGAAUUUCCCUGUCUCAGAUCCCAGGCUUCAUUGUUCCUCUUCUUCCUGGCUUUCAUGCCAUAUGUUACUUUGUAUCAAAUGGUGUAAUGAUUACAUAAUACAUUUUGGAAAAACAGCUCUGUUGCAUCUAUUCUUUAUUCUCUCAUCUCCCUUUCUCUCUUUGUCAUUACUGAAAAAUAAACUCUAUGGGCAAUCCUCUUUUUGCAGACUAUAUUUCACCCUUUUUUCCUAGUAACAGGGACACUGAACUGUUUGGCACUGAGAAGUUAAGGUCCAGAUAUUAGCUGUAAUUAGUCUAAUAAUUCUAGUAAUCACUGUUCUGGAACUAUAUGGUGUUUCAUUUUAGGAGGCUAGCAUUAGUGUUAUAAUUACACCUCCAUACUUUUUGAUUUUGCAGAUUGUAAUAACACUACUUUUGAACAGAUAACAUAAAUAUGCAUAAAUAUAUUAAUUAUAAACAGGAGUUUUGAGCUCGUAUUUUUUUAUUAGACAAAGUAGUGACUAAAAUUCAUCAGUACCCAUUUCUCAGUGUAUUUUUGCUUGGUUGGUUAUUAUUAUUUGUUAAAUUUAUUUACUUUGGAAGCAAUGAUAGUGCAAAACUUCGGCAUUACUAUUAGUUGAAUUGCAUACUUGCUUUCUAAGAACAUAUCCCACAACCUGGCCAUCUUUUGAUCAUAAAGAAAAAUUAUCUAUUUAAAACAGGAACUUGAUAAAUUUUAUGAAUUGUGCAGUUGUGCAAACUGUGGCGUCACUCAUUGUCAUGUUUCACUCAGCUUCAAACCUUCUUUGUGGUCACUUAGUUAUGACUGGAGCUAUUUGGAUCAUAAAUAUAACUGAGAACAUAUUCAGGAUU